rnacentral:lncRNA from 1 species
CUCCUUAGUGGUCCAGGAACCUGAUCCUCUUGGGGACAGUGAGAAGCAACGUGACACACCAAAGCGCCUAUUGGCUACUUGGAUAUCAGGCUUGGGAGAUAUCCAAAAGAUACUUGGGGAGACAAAAAGUCCCCUUUCUGCACCAAACUCGCCGCUCAGUGUCUGUCGCUCUAUGCAGAGUGGAGUUUGUUCAAGCAACAUGUCUAAGCAUCAGGAGUGGCACCCUGGCUGGGUAGUGUGACAGCACAGAGCAAGGCAGGGAUUACACCUGAACAUUAAGGUAGAUGGGAGGCUGCUGCCUGCUCUGGGAGAUGCAGCCAGAGAGGAGCCAGGGAGCUCAUCUCCAGGGGAUGGAGUGGGUGGCAUCAUCUCAACAGUCCCCUAAGUCAUGAAGAGGCACCUGUGCAGGAAUAGGAGCGCUGAGAGGAUCCUGCACUGGCGACCAGAAGCAAAAAGCCACUUCAUGUUCCUUCCUGCCAAGUUGGUAUGUGCCAGCUCUUGCUCAAGACAUGAAGAUGAAAAUUUUCUGAAAUGGAGUAUAUUCAGGUGAGAAAUAACUUCCUGUGAAUCUCUUCACCCCCCAAAUGUUAUAUUGAACUGGUGAUAGAGGAUUGCUGGAAAAGAAACUUGAGGUGACUGAGGUGAGAACUGUCAUAGAAAAUAGCCUGAAGGUGGUAAGAUUCCAAUUUGGCUUCUUCAAUCUUGGGGCAAGUUUUCACUGCUCAAGAAUUGUGUGGAUAUUCAUUCCUCCAUUAAACAACUGUUAGAGAUGUGAUUUGUGAAGUCAAAAGAACUGCACUUCCACAUACUCACAGUUUUUCUUUAAGCUCUGCUACUCUCUGCUUGUCUUAAUUCUGUAGCAUUAUAGCUUACAGGAAAGACAGAAGGACAGAUCAUUACGUUUGCAUUAUCAGAAGCUAUUUACCUGUGGGGAAAAAAUCAUGUAGUAUUAUGAUUUCCCCAUUGAGUGCAAAUAAUUCCAUGUGAUUUCCAUGUAGACUACUGUCUUUGUAUGGCAGGAGUACAAGGAUAUAAAUUUAGAGAUGCUUUGCAGGAUAAAUACAAAGGGAAUGUUGCAAAUCAGGAUACAAGUGAAUGGGAUUUAAAGACUGGCGUUAGACAAUGAUAGAGCAUCACCCCCCCCCCCCCAAAAAAAAAACCAAACAAACAAACC